UCACUAAGCUGUGUAGCAUCAUAGGCACCUUUGCCUAGUUCUAGUUGUAAUUUGAAGAAGGUAUCUUUGGAGUUGGCCCCCGUCUAUGUUCCUUGGAACAGGACGUCACAGAGGGUGAGAAUCCCGUGCGAUGGGGAGACCAAUUCUAUGUAAAGUUCCUUCGAAGAGUCGAGUUGUUUGGGAAUGCAGCUCUAAGUGGGUGGUAAAUUCCAUCUAAAGCUAAAUAUUGGCGAGAGACCGAUAGCGAACAAGUACAGUGAUGGAAAGAUGAAAAGAACUUUGAAAAGAGAGUGAAAAAGUACGUGAAAUUGUUGAAAGGGAAGGGCUUUUGAUCAGACUUGGUGUUUAGGACUCUCUACUCCUUGUGGGUGGGGCUCUUGCUUUAUACUGGGCCAGCAUCGGUUUGGAUGGUAGGAUAAUAGCAUUGGAAUGUGGCUUCAUUCGUGAAGUGUUAUAGCCCUUGUUGAUACUACCUAUCUAGACCGAGGACUGCGUCUUUUGACUAGGAUGCUGGCGUAAUGAUUAAAAGCC
rnacentral:rRNA from 1 species